rnacentral:rRNA from 1 species
GAUGAACGCUGGCGGCGUGCCUAAUACAUGCAAGUCGAGCGAACAGACGAGGAGCUUGCUCCUCUGACGUUAGCGGCGGACGGGUGAGUAACACGUGGAUAACCUACCUAUAAGACUGGGAUAACUUCGGGAAACCGGAGCUAAUACCGGAUAAUAUAUUGAACCGCAUGGUUCAAUAGUGAAAGACGGUUUUGCUGUCACUUAUAGAUGGAUCCGCGCCGCAUUAGCUAGUUGGUAAGGUAACGGCUUAUCACGGCGACGAUGCGUAGCCGACCUGAGAGAGUGAUCGGCCACACGGGAACGGAAACACGGACCAGACGCCUACGAGAGGCAGCAGUAGGGAAUCUGCCGCAGUAGUCGAAAGCCUGACGGAGCAACGCCGCGUGAGUGAUAAAGGUGUUCGGAUCGUAAAGCUCUGUUAUGAGGGAAGAACAAAUGUGUAAGUAACUAUGCACGUCUUGACGGUACCGAAUCAGAAAGCCACGGCUAACUACGUG